ensembl:lncRNA
ACACACGGCGGCGGCCGAGUUCCAUCAUUCACCAGAACGAGAGGCAACCUAUGGUUCGUUUACAAACAGCACGUGCAGCUUGAACCCGAUGAAGAGCUUCUUCAUCGCUGGCAAACGAUAAGUUGCAGCUUCGACUCAGUGGAUCACAGUUUGCAGUCAGAUUUGUCCCAGCGCUCGAGAAUCACAGCUUUAUUAGGUCUACUUUUACAGUCUUCCCAGCUAACAAAUCCCCGAGAAGCAGACAUUGAGCUGAAGCAUGAGAGAGCAGUGCGCACUCGACAUGAUAGCUUCAGCUGUGACAGCAUUCUGCUGCUGCGGUCUGGAGCCUCGGGGUCUGGCGGUCGAGGGUUCGAGAUCCACUGUUGGUCAUCAGAGGGAUAAGAAGGCCGGUUCGCGACCUGUCAUAGCCACGGGCGAGUGAGAAUAGCUCAAAGCCUUUGCUUGGGAUUCUGGGAUUGAGAUGUACUGGUGAAGUGAAUUAUUCUCAGAGAUGUUGAGGCCCCUGCAAAUUUCCCAGAAUAAAGCUGUCAUCGAAUCCUUGUCA